rnacentral:ncRNA from 1 species
UGAAUCUGAAUGAAACUGGCGGUAAGUACAUAGUCUGACGGACAGAAACUUCAUAUAAGGCAUAUACCUAUGGGUAAGAUUGCUAAACAAACUAAACCUUAUAGCAAUAUUCGGAACGGUUGGUGUAAAUGGAACAGAUAUAAGAUGGAAAGUCA